rnacentral:snRNA from 1 species
AUACCUUUCUCGGCCUUUCGGCUAAGAUCAAGUGCAGUAUAUAUUCUUAUCAGUUUAAUAUCUUGAUACGUGAACUAUUAGUCUACAUGAUAUUAACUCACUUUUUUUAGGAAAGGUCCAUUAAGACAGCUUGCUAUUUGGGCCUUUGAGUGUCGCCUUGGCGUUGCACAAUUUCCUUCGCCAGGCGCACUCCAU